UACGUAGGCAGCAAGCGUUGUUCGGAGUUACUGGGCGUAAAGGGCGCGUAGGCGGCUUCGCAAGUGGAAGGUGAAAUCCCUCGGCUUAACCGAGGAACUGCCCUCCAACUGCGUUGCUUGAGGCCGGGAGAGGUGAGUGGAAUUCCCAGUGUAGCGGUGAAAUGCGUAGAUAUUGGGAGGAACACCAGUGGCGAAGGCGGCUCACUGGACCGGUUCUGACGCUGAGGCGCGAAAGCGUGGGGAGCAAACGGG
rnacentral:rRNA from 1 species